rnacentral:lncRNA from 1 species
AUUACAGUAGCAAUGGUGGGAGCAUGUUUGUUGCCGACAUAUGGUUUGAACUGUUUGGUGAACUCUUUGUUGUAUUUGUUGAUGUAAACUUUCGAGGUUGUCGAGAUUCUCUCCAGGUCCGGUAUAAGUGUUUGCUGGAACUUAGCCGGUAGAUCCCGCAACUCCGACACUAAAUCCGAUUCAUCAUCGUCGUCGACCCAACUGGGUUGCUUCUUUUGUUGUUUCUGAAUCUGGGCUGUUGUCGGUUUCUUUUCAGGUUUUGAAGAUGGAACCGGUGUUUUCGUGGUUGUUUUGUUCUUGGGAGAGCUUAAUUUGAGCAGAUCCGAAGCUUUUGGUGUUGUGGAAUUCAGUUUCUUCACCUUGGAAGUUGAAUUAAGCUUCUUGGGAAUGGAACUCGACACCGUU